rnacentral:rRNA from 1 species
UACGAAGGGGGCUAGCGUUGUUCGGAUUUACUGGGCGUAAAGCGCACGUAGGCGGUUAUUUAAGUCAGGGGUGAAAUCCCAGAGCUCAACUCUGGAACUGCCUUUGAUACUGGGUAUCUUGAGUAUGGAAGAGGUAAGUGGAAUUGCGAGUGUAGAGGUGAAAUUCGUAGAUAUUCGCAGGAACACCAGUGGCGAAGGCGGCUUACUGGUCCAUUACUGACGCUGAGGUGCGAAAGCGUGGGGAGCAAACAGG